GGGCCCGCACAAGCGGUGGAGUAUGUGGUUUAAUUCGAUGCAACGCGAAGAACCUUACCAGGGUUUGACAUCCUGCGAAUCUCUUGGAAACGAGAGAGUGCCUUCGGGAACGCAGUGACAGGUGGUGCAUGGCUGUCGUCAGCUCGUGUCGUGAGAUGUUGGGUUAAGUCCCGCAACGAGCGCAACCCACGUCGUUAGUUGCCAGCAUUUAGUUGGGCACUCUAGCGAGACCGCCGGUGAUAAACCGGAGGAAGGCGGGGACGACGUCAAGUCAUCACGGCCCUUACGUCCUGGGCCACACACGUACUACAAUGCUACGGACAAAGGGCAGCAAACUCGCGAGAGCUAGCA
rnacentral:rRNA from 1 species